rnacentral:rRNA from 1 species
CCUACGGGCGGCAGCAGUGAGGAAUAUUGGUCAAUGGGCGCGAGCCUGAACCAGCCAAGCAGCGUGAAGGAUGACUGCCCUACGGGUUGUAAACUUCUUUUAUAAAGGAAUAAAGUGAGGCAAGUGUGCCUUUUUGUAUGUACUUUAUGAAUACGGAUCGGCUAACUCCGUGCCAGCAGCCGCGGUAAUACGGAGGAUCCGAGCGUUAUCCGGAUUUAUUGGGUUUAAAGGGAGCGUAGGUGGGUUGUUAAGUUAGUUGUGAAAGUUUGCGGCUCAACCGUAAAAUUGCAAUUGAUACUGGCAGUCUUGAGUACAGUUGAGGUAGGCGGAAUUCGUGGUGUAGCGGUGAAAUGCUUAGAGAUCACGAAGAACUCCGAUUGCGAAGGCAGCUUACUAGACUGCCACUGACAUUGAUGCUCGAAAGUGUGGGGAUCAAACAGGAUUAGAUACCCUUGUAGUC